GUGUCUCCUUGUACGACAGAUGAUUUGUUGUGCUUCAUUUCAAAGUCUGUGCUGUGUACACUAUCAACUUCUGAGAAGGGUGUUAAGUGAAGACUUGGUUGAAGUUCUAUGCUUGUCUCCUGCUUUCUCACAAUCUCAGAAGGCAGAGAAUGAGGACAGAUACACGUCACACACUGGGGAGGAUUGCACCACACAAUCUUCAGCACAACCUGUGUGGUUCUGCUUAUAAAUCCAGGAUUAAGACUUUCUAUAACCACUUAAGAAGGUGCAGACCCAUUGCACAGAAGCACACAUCUACAGAGGAACAACAUAUAUCUUUUCCUUACUGUGACAAAGAGGUGUGGCCUCCCUCAGAGACUGGCAGCGAGGGUAGACCACACCCACCUGAUGCGCGGAACUAGGAAGUUGACGCCACCACUCCAGAAGCAGAGAGGUGGGACAGGAACUGGAAGCAUACAAGUUGGGCCCUGUAGCUCACUUGAAGAGGAGCCGCCGAGGGAGGCAGACGCUUCCAGCUCACCGCUGGAACUGGAGCCUGCGGAAGACUUCUGCUGCCCUGAGGACACCUCCCAGGAACCAGGUUUGCCAGACACGCCCGACGCUGAGGAGCUCCUGGGAUUGCCACUGGCAGUAUACCCUGAGGAGACGGAGGACAACUCCAGGGUUCAGGGAAGAGUGCUAAUACUGCCCCAGAGCUCCGUCUUCAGCCGUGGACAGUUCACAAGGAACUAGAGGGCUCAGGUGUGAGUGCACAACAUGCGGCACCAACGGCACCGCAAGACACCUACCCGCGCAGACAUGGCUACCAUAAAUCUCCAAUCACCAGUGCUGGGACGUACCAACACCCGACGUGGAGCGCCCACAGGGACAGCACUUGAAGAAAAAAACGUUUAUGUUAAAUUCAAGUACUAUAUCUUAGUUCAAUCGUAGGAAAAAACCCAUAACAUAAUAAGGGCAUUUUAAGAUGCUCCAAAGCCUGU